CAGGUCAGGGCUGACAGAAACACUGCUCUCUGAAGUCGUUCACAAUACUUUUCUUCCUCCUAAUGGAAAAGGUUACUUCCCAACUUGUGACGAGGAGAGGCAUUUUGCUCUACCUGCACUCCUGACUCGCCUCAGGCUCAAAGCACAGAGCCAGCAAGAUCAUGAACUGGAGCCUCCAAGACUAUCCCACCCCGACGAGCAGCUCAUCCAUGUGCCUGGUUUAUUUAUAUGAAGACUUUUAUCUCCUCAAUAAAUCAUAAGCUUCUUUGAACA